AAGAAGUUAGUUUAAAAUAAAACAUUAACUUGUCAAGUUAAAAAAAUUAAAUAAUUAAUACUCCUUA
rnacentral:tRNA from 2 species